AUGAUGUGGGAGGACAUCAUGGCCCUCGUUGCUAUCCUCGUCGCGGCAUUGGGCGUCUGCCUAAUCUGGUGCAUGGCACCAGCUGCAGAGGUGGAGCAAGGACAUAACGUGCCCCCCAUGGGUCGAAGGAGGGGGAGGUGGCCGGGCUCGCAGCCGCGAAGGCCGGCGCCGGCGGCGCGGGUCGUCGUGGGGAAGCCGCAGCAGCUGGUCUACUUCUCGUACCCCGCAGCGCCCGACGCGGAGGGCGGCGGAGGGACGGCCGCAGGGUCGGUGGUGGUGUGCGCCAUCUGCCUGGAGGCGCUGGUCGGCGGGGCGGAGUGCAGCGAGGUGCCGGCGUGCCGGCACGUGUUCCACCGGGGCUGCCUCGCGCUGUGGAUCAAGAGCAAGAGCACCUGCCCGCUCUGCAGGGAGCUUGUCGUGGCAGGGUCAGAACCCCUCACGGCUGCCGAGGCCAUGGUUUAG
rnacentral:rRNA from 1 species